CGGGCGUGCCUAAUACAUGCAAGUCGAACGCAUUGUGGUUGAAAUGAUUAUGAAGAACUUGUUCAGAUUUGAUUUUCAACAUUGCAAUGAGUGGCGAACGGGUGAGUAACACGUGGGAAACCUACCUCUUAGCAGGGGAUAACAUUUGGAAACAAUGCUAAUACCGUAUAAUAAUUAAAACCGCAUGGUUUUAGUUUAAAAGAUGGUCUUGCUAUCACUAAGAGAUGGUCCCGCGGUGUAUUAGUUAGUUGGUGAGGUAAUGGCUCACCAAGACAAUGAUACAUAGCCGAGUUGAGAGACUGACCGGCCACAAUGGGACUGAGACACGGCCCAUACUCCUACGGGAGGCAGCAGUAGGGAAUCUUCCACAAUGGACGAAAGUCUGAUGGAGCAACGCCGCGUGUGUGAUGAAGGGUUUCGGCUCGUAAAACACUGUUGUAAGAGAAGAAUGACAUUGAGAGUAACUGUUCAAUGUGUGACGGUAUCUUACCAGAAAGGAACGGCUAAAUACGUG
rnacentral:rRNA from 1 species